GCUCAAAUUUAGGCGACGCGAAAGGGGACCGCCUCGUUCACGCCCCCUUUUCGUGACGUUGGCCUCGUCCGGCCUUGCAUCCAGCGCCUGAAUGGCUUGUGCAAGGGCCUACAUCUAGGGCGAAAAGAAGCAUACAAUCAUGGCUGUGGUUUGGCCACCCCUGCUCUACACUCUGGUCUCUUCCAGGGGUGAGCACAGCAGUCACUAUCUUGAUAAGUCACUCACUUACCAGAACUACAACAACUGGCACUCUGACAGAGGUUGGAGCAACAGCUGGAACAUUCCUUAGCAGGAAGAUGGGUAGCUGGUGGGAACACAAGAAAACACCAGUACCAAUGCUGUAAAUGGUAUAUUUCUCUCCUGCUCAGAAGAAAAGCAGCAGUUCAUCAGCUACUUUGAGUUGGGACCCAAAAAGGGUAUCGGAGGCUAACUACAAGCCCCAGAAUUAGAGGGCUCACAAUGGCAUCUGUGCAGCUGUCAGGACUGGAAACAAAGCCACCAUCAUGGUGUGUUCCUCAUGCCUUCCUAAUAAUUUUCAGAUAUCAAAACUUUCAAGUGCCUACAAAUUUCAUUACUUUCACUACACACUUGAGAUAAUCCCUUCAACAUAUGGCUUACCACUUUUAGUGCUAUACCUCAACUUCCAAGGUUAGAUUUUUUUUUCUCAUCCCUAACCCAGAUCUAAAAUGAUCCCUUGGCCUAAAAUCUUUCUUACUGAUACUAAUUACUUAUAUGAACUAUAAUUUGCUCAAAUAUGCAAACACUGAAACAGGUGACUGUGAAUACCUCAAAACACUGAUUAAAAGUGAUCAUAUGAAAUUCCAACAUACCCUUCUUAAAGAAUUACAAGUAGGUUCUUGAAACUUAUCAAGACCCCAAACUAAGAUAAAAAAUUCACAGAAAGUCAGAAGUUAAAUAAAGAGCUCUAAUGCUCAAAGUACUCUGAUACUCUUCACAUUUUAAAGAAGCUUAUGUUUAGGCCUUUAUCAGCAAAAUUUAAGAAGACCAUAGUCAGGAAUUGGAUAAUAGGGAAACAGAUAAUAAUAAGAAAGGGCACAAGGAGUUUCUUAGUUGAAUCAACAGAAGCGACUGUAGAAAAUAAGAAUGCUAUUUCAAAAAGAAAAUACUUAAUUAAAAUCAACAUAUAAUUCACUUAUUUCCAUAUGCCAAAUGUUAAAACACCUUAAAAUUUCCAAACUUUUCCUACUUCUCCAAUCUCUGUAGGAAUUGACACUUACUCAUAAUUUUUCACAAGCUGAUAAAGGCAAAGAAGAAUUCCUAGCCAACAAGCACUGUUAUCAGACUGAAGAUAAAAGCCAAUUUUGUCCACAAUGGCAGUCCAGCGGCUUGGAUAAUCAUGUUUGAUGAUAUGGUGAAUGCAUGUAGUAAGCUGUACCCUGAAAGUCAAAAAUAAACAAUAAGGAGGAAGAAAUGUUACCUAGAUAAAGUUCUACUCAUACAAGAAAAUGGCUGCUUACACAAAAAGUCACUGAGAAAAAACUACCUGUUCCUACUGAUUUAAAAGAAAACUGACAAAUGUUACAAGUGAUUUUAUUUUUUCUUAUCUUUCAUCCCUAUCAUCAACUGAUGAGUUUCAUUUAGAGUAUAGCUAUUUUCAUUAAAAAUACUGCAAAUUCAGGGAUGCGUAGGUGGCUCAGUCAGUUGAACAUCCAACUCAAUUUUGGGUCAUGUUGUGAUCUUGGGGUGGUGAUACUGAGCCCUGCAUCAGGGCUCAUGUUCAACAGGCUCACAUUGAGCGUAGAUAGGAGUCUGCUUGUCCCUCUUCUUCCCCCUCUGCCUCUCCGCUCUCUUAUCUAAAAAUAAAUACAAUCUCCUAAAAAGAAAUCCUGUAAAAUCAUAUAAAAAUAAGAGCUUUUAAAUAGCAAGACCAUAUAAUAUAAAGUAUUAUGACAGCAUUCUACAGUUUUCUUUAUCCCAUUUCACCUGAUCAC